AAUUCAACAGAAAUGACAAAGAAAGGAAACCAGAACCAACAUUAAAAACACCCUCUUCGGCACAAGAAAAGAUGGGUAUUCGGUCACCAGCACUAUCAGUUUCAGCAGCUGUGAAAAAAGACCUGAGAGACAAUAUCAUAGUUAAGAACCCAAAGUUCACCAUUAGAACUGGCACCAACAAGUCUGACAUCAGCUUUGUUCCCAAAACCCUUUGGGGAAGACAUCUCACCAACAGUCCACAACACACUGAGAAGAAGAAGGGAACACUUUGACAAAAAGACGACUCGCAAGGACUUCACACACUUCAACAAGAGCAUCCCAGAGCUGAAUGGGAUUGAACGACUGG